rfam:Callithrix jacchus chromosome 9, whole genome shotgun sequence
GGAUGUGAGGGCGAUCUGGCUGCAACAUCCGUCACUCCAUUGAUCGCCAGGGUUGUUACGGCUGAUCUGGCUGGCUAGGCGGGUUUCCCCUUCUUCCCUGACUGCUCCACUUGCCUCCCUCCCGAAGCUGCGCACUCAGUCGAAGAGGACGACCAUCCCCGAUAGAGGAGGAGUGGUCUUCAGUCAAAGGUAUAUGAGUAGCUGCACUCCCCUGCUAGAACCUCCAAACAAGCUCUCAAGAAAGCUGGAGUUGUCUUUAAAAGAGAUAAGGAGGAUUAUGGAAUGAGCAAAUUUGAAGGGGAAAAAUUCAGUUCAGUUUUAGAAAUGUUAAUAUUGAGACAUU